rnacentral:rRNA from 1 species
AUAAUGGAGAGUUUGAUCCUGGCUCAGGACGAACGCUGGCGGCGUGCCUAAUACAUGCAAGUCGAGCGGAACCUUAGGAGCUUGCUCCUUUGGUUUAGCGGCGGACGGGUGAGUAACACGUGGGCAACCUGCCCUGCAGAUCGGGAUAACUCCGGGAAACCGGUGCUAAUACCGAAUAGUUUACGGCCUCUCAUGAGGCGGUACGGAAAGACGGUUUCGGCUGUCACUGCAGGAUGGGCCCGCGGCGCAUUAGCUAGUUGGUGGGGUAACGGCCUACCAAGGCGACGAUGCGUAGCCGACCUGAGAGGGUGAUCGGCCACACUG